GACGAACGCUGGCGGCGUGCUUAACACAUGCAAGUCGAACGGAAAGGCCCUGCUUUUGUGGGGUGCUCGAGUGGCGAACGGGUGAGUAACACGUGAGUAACCUGCCCUUGACUUUGGGAUAACUUCAGGAAACUGGGGCUAAUACCGGAUAGGAGCUCCUGCUGCAUGGUGGGGGUUGGAAAGUUUCGGCGGUUGGGGAUGGACUCGCGGCUUAUCAGCUUGUUGGUGGGGUAGUGGCUUACCAAGGCUUUGACGGGUAGCCGGCCUGAGAGGGUGACCGGCCACAUUGGGACUGAGAUACGGCCCAGACUCCUACGGGAGGCAGCAGUGGGGAAUAUUGCACAAUGGGCGGAAGCCUGAUGCAGCAACGCCGCGUGCGGGAUGACGGCCUUCGGGUGGGAAACCGCUUUCGCCUGUGACGAAGCGUGAGUGACGGUAAUGGGGAAAGAAGCACCGGCUAACUACGU
rnacentral:rRNA from 1 species